UAUGCGCGUACGAUGGUCGCUCAAUGUAUAUUGAGAGGAAAGUCCGAACACGCCCAGUACAGCUGUAUUGGAGCAGGGUAGCGGGUAAUGCCCGUCCGUGGUAACGCGAGAGGUGCGAGCAGAGACGCUGGGAGCGAAAGCAAACAGGUCCCUGUAAAAAGGGAUAGUCACUUGAGAAAUCUAUGUGAGUGAAACGGCUAAAUCCUUACCUGCGUGCAAGGCCGUGCUUUNGCCGGCUCACGGCAGCGGUGCUGCUGUCAUGAGCCGGCGAAAGAGAGCUGCUUGAGGUGGUGAGUAAUCGCCAUCCCAGAUAUAUGACCAUCCAGGUACAUACCUGACAGAAUUCGGCUUACGUACACAAAAC
rnacentral:RNase_P_RNA from 1 species